GAAGAUGCCUCGGAUAGGUUGGAUAUUACAAGAUGAGAAAUUCGCCACGGCGAUCAUAAGAGGGCUUUUAGAUACCGAAGGAUCGGUGAAAAAGAUAUCUAGGACUUUGGGGAUUGUUGUGAAGCAGAGAAACAAGGAUAUCGCUAUGUUCUACGCCCAGUGUAUUUCUCUAUUGGGUUUCACUCCACGAAUAUACCAAUGGAACGAAAAGAACAAGCCUAUCUACGCCGUCGUGGUACUGGGCAAGGAUGUGGUAGAAGACUUCCUCCGGACUAUAAAACCCAGAAAUCCCUCUAAGACCCCCUCUUUUUAGUCUUCCUCUCACGCCGGCCUCCCCCAGCGGAAUGCGGGCAACCGCGACGGGGCUACCCCGAGUGCCGGGCGAAGAGCCCGGCUUUUGCCCGGUCUAAAACGCCGGGAGAAUAAGCGGGGGGCAAGUCUGGUGUCAGCCGCCGCGGUAAUACCAGCUCCGCGAGUGGUCGGGGUGUUUACUGGGCUUAAAGCGCCCGUAGCCGGCCCGGCAAGUCGCUCCUGAAAUCCCAGGGCUCAACCCUGGGGCGGGGGGCGAUACUGCCGGGCUAGGGGGCGGAAGAGGCCGCCGGUACUCCGGGGGUAGGGGCGAAAUCCGUUAAUCCCCGGAGGACCACCAGUGGCGAAAGCGGGCGGCCAGAACGCGCCCGACGGUGAGGGGCGAAAGCCGGGGGAGCAAAGGGGAUUAGAUACCCCUGUAGUCCCGGCCGUAAACGAUGCGGGCUAGCUGUCGGCUGGGCUUAGGGCCCGGCCGGUGGCGAAGGGAAACCGUUAAGCCCGCCGCCUGGGGAGUACGGCCGCAAGGCUGAAACUUAAAGGAAUGGCGGG
rnacentral:rRNA from 1 species